AUAGAGCAACUGUCGGAAGAGAGAGGAAAACCGCGAAGAAUAAGGAACGCAGCGAGAGUGAAGGGAAUGAACCUUCCCUGGACGUGUGACCACGAUCCUGGGUGUAGAGGGCAACGAUGCGCGUCAAACUUGUAAUAGAUCCAGUAUCCGCUGCACUUCCGCGAUCUCCUCCAAUGGCACUGAAAUAUUGAUAGGGUUUUCUCAAACGCUCUGUUUUCCGUUUCUACACACACUUUGUUUUUCGUUUCUGCACACACUCUGUUUUUUCAUUUCUGCAAUAUAUACGGUUUUACAACAAUCCCCCACAUAUUCGAAAAGAUAAAACAUAGAGAUAAAGAAAGAAAUUAAUUCUAGGUUCAUGUAAGAUGUAAUGCAUCAGAGUUGGUAUAAUAAGCUAUAUGAACCAAUCUUAGAUUGAUGAACUUAACACAUAGUGUAGUUGGUAUAGUAAGUUUGAACCAAGACACUUAGUAUGUGUUAGAGGUUUAUCAAUCACAAUACACCCCCACAAUACUUGUUGUUAUCGCUAUGUUGGGCGUAUAAGGCCAUGCGUGUGCCCGGUAUUCAUGAGUGUUAUAGAGAUCUCGCCAAUAUCUCAUGCAAGCGGCCCCACUUGACACUCAUAUAGGUAAUUUCAUCAAGUGUAUGCUGCAAAUCAUACACCACCCAUAAGGGAUAUGAAAAUUAUUAAAACUUUGCAAAUCAUUAAAAAUAUUUUACCUCAUAAUUUUAACCACAAAGUUUAUCCUCUCGAUAAUGCAGUGUCUAGCACUUUCACACACACCAUAGGAAUGGACAAAAUUGAUCUUAAAUCAAUAUUAGUGUUAGCAUAACUAACAAGUGACUUGUUUUUACCCAUAUGAACCUUAUUCAUGGGUUCUCCAAUCAUAAAGGUUGAGUUUCCAUCACUUGUUUGUUUGCAAGUGGCUUAAGUCUCAUUCUGCUCGAUGUUUUUAAAAUCAGUUUUCUCCCAAGGGGUUUUGUUAGAGGAUCUGCCAAAUUCCGUUCUGACUUGACAUAGUUAGCAAAAAUCGUUCUACUCUUUAACAGUUCCUUCACCAAAUUAUGUCUCAAUUGUAUAUGUCUCUUCUUUCCAUUGUAAGUUUUAUUUUUAGCUAUAGCUAUUGUCGAUUGGCAAAGAAUGCAUUGAUAUAGAUGGGGUUGGUUUCAUUCCUAACGGAAUGUUUGCUAAGAAAUUUUUCAACCACUCAGCUUCACUACCAAUCAUCUCGAGAGCAAAAAACUCAUAUUCCAUUGUUGAUCUUGCAAUAAUAUUUUGUCUGGCUGAUCUCCAUGUAACUGCACCACCCCCAAGUGUAAAUACAUAACCACUAGUAGAUUUUGUCUCAUCUGAAUAAGAGAUCCAGUUAACAUCAUUGUACCCUUCUAGCACAACAGGAAAUCAGUUAUAUUCACUGGCAUAAUCCAUUGUACCUCUCAAGUAUUUCAUGAGUCUCGCAAGUGCAUCCAAUUGAUCCUGACUAGGACAUUGAGUGUAUCUACUCACUCUACCUACUGCAUAAGCAAUAUCUGGUCUAGAAAAGCUCAUUAAAUGGAAUAAGCUCCCAAUUAUCUAGGCAUACUGAGUUUGAGAAAUAAAUUCUCCUAUGUUCUUCUUUAAUUUAGAGUUAGCAUCAUAAGGGGUGUUCACUGACUUAAAGUCAUAGUAACCAAACUUCUUAAGAAGUUUCUCAGUAUAUUUUUCUUGGGAUAGUAAUAUACUAUCUCCCUUCCUUAUAAUUUUAAUUAUUAGAAUCACACUUGCUUCACCCAUGUCUUUCAUCUCAAACUUAGAUCCAAGAAACAAUUUUGUUUUAUAAACAAUAUCAUUGCAUGCACUAAAAAUUAGCAUGUCAUCCACAUACAAACAUAUAAUGACACAUUCACCAUUUUCAGAUUUGGAAUACACACAUUUAUCAGCAUCAUUGGUAGAAAAACCUUCACAUAGUAAAACAUUAUCAAGUUUUUCAUGCCAUUUAUUUUGGUGCUUGUCUCAAACCAUAUAGAGAUUUUAAAAGUUUGCAUAUUUUUUCCUUUUGACCUGGAACUACACAUCCUUCAGGUUGAGUCAAAUGAAUUUUCUCUUCUAGUUCACCAUUUGGUGAAUUACUAACAUUCUUCAGGCCGUUUUAACAUCCAUUUGGUGAAUUACUAACUUAUGGAUAGAUACUAAGGCUAGCAACGCACAGAUAGAGGAAAUCCUAGUAACAGGGGCAAAAGUAACAAAGUAAUCUAUGUUAUGUUUUUUAGUAAAACCUUUAGCAACUAAUCUUACCUUAUAUUUCUCUAUGGAUCCAUCAGGAUGGUACUUCUUCUUAAAGAUCCACUUACAACCAAUGAAUUUUUCUCCUUUAGGCAAAUCUACUAAGGGUCCACGUAUUAUUUUUCUUAAUUGAAUCAAGCUCAGUUUUAAUGGCCUUAUUCCAAUGUUUAACAUUAGGAGUACUAUUAGCUUCUAAAAAACUUAUUGGAUCAUUUUCAACUAGAUAAGUGUAAAAGUCAUCUCCAAAUGAGGUUUCCUUUCUCUGUCUUUUACUUCUUCUAACAUCCUCAUUCUUGACAUCAUUAGCAUUAUCUAUAGGUUGUUCAGAUGUACCACUACUCUUUAGAGGAAGUAUAUGUUCAAAGAACUCAACAUUUUUCGUAUCUACUAUAGUGUUACGUUCAAUUAUAUCAUUAUUAAGAACUAGAAACCUAUAGGCAGCACUAAGUUCUCCAUAUCCUAAGAACAUGAAAUCAGAUGUUUUAGAACCUAUUUUCCUUUUCUUAGGAUCAGGUAACAUCACUUUAGCUAAACACCCCCACACUCUUAAGUAUUAAUGGUUGAUAACCUUUCCACAACUCAUAGGGUUUUACCAGUUUUCUUAUAUGGUAUCCUAUUUUGCAAAAAAACACGCGCUAAGCAGAGAUUCACCCCACAUAUUAUCAUAAGCAUUAAAAGUAAUAAGCAUGGCAUUCAUCAUUUCUUUAAGAGCUUAUUUUUCCUUUCAACUACUCAAAUAGAUUUAGGUGAAUACGGUGAGGUUACUUCAUGAAUAAUACCUUCUUUAACGCAAUAAUCAUUAAAUAAAACAUAUUCACCCCCUUUAUUUGAUCUAAUUUUUUUAUUUAAAUGAUUUUCUACUUACGCUUUAUAAGUUAAGAACAUGUCAAAAGCUUCAUCCUUAUGUUUAAUUAAAUACACUUUGGUGUAUCAAGAAAAAUCAUCUAUAAAUGUUACAAAAUAAUUUUUACCACCUCUAGACAUGGUUUGUUUUAAAUCUGCAAGAUUGGUAUGAACUAAACCAAGAAGUUCAGUUUGACGUUCUACAUAAUGACAUGUUUUAUUCGUUAUUUUAGAUUCUACGCAUAUAUCACAUUUACUAUUUUGUUUGUCAUGCAUGUUGAUUUAUCCUAAUCGUUGCAAUUUCAUAACAUACGAAUAAUUCACAUGUCCUAAUCUAGCAUGUCAUAUAUCAUACGAAUCAACAAUAUAAGCAAAAGAUUCAAAUUCAUUAAUAACUUCAGAAAUGUUCAAUACAAAAAGACAUUGAUCACAAUAUCCCUUUCCCACAAAAACAUUUUUUUUUGUCGUAACAAUCUUGUCAUAUUCAAAUGACACUUUAGCCUCAGCUUUGCUUAUCAAUGCUACAGAGAUCAAAUUAAAUUAAAUUUAUGUUACAUGUAGCAUAUCACUCAAAGCCAGAGUUUUACCAUAUGUGAGCUUUAGAAAAACCUUUCCUUUUCCUAGGACAAGAGUUGUCCUGGAGUCACCGUGAUAAACUUCUUAUUCUCUAUCUCACACACUUGUGUAGGAGGUAAACACAUUUUUGUUUGCAUAGACGUGUCUGGUAGCUUCAAAGUCUACCACUCAUUUGUUCACAUUUGUCACAAGAUUUACUUGUGAAACGACUGUCAUAAUGGUAUUUUCCCCUUUGGCUAGAUUUGCCUUAGGAGGAUAGUCGUUUUUGGCCCUAUGUCUGCACUGAGGUGCAUGAUGAUCUGGCUUUCCACAGAUACCCUUUUUCUUGAAAGUGGGGUUAGUUCCAUUGGGACGAGAGAAUUUAUUAUUAUAUUUCUUUUUGUUAUCAUAUUUUUUGUUCGUACCUUUUUGGAGUUGGUUUGUCUUCUACCACGUUUGCUUUGACAGACAAAGUUUUGGCCUUUGUAGCAGCACACUCCUUCCUGUUUGUGUCUUCAAUGAUGAUGUGGGUAAUCAAAUUUGAUAGUGAGAUUUGUUUGUGUUUGUGCUUCAAUUGUUGUUUGUAAUCAGUCCAAGAUUGCAAAAGCUUUUCGAUCAAGAGUUCCGACACUAAUUCAUCCGACAAGGCUAUGAUUUUGGCUUUGAUAUCUUCAAGUAGCUUGUGGUAUUCGUUUAUCUGGAUUUUGAUGUCUUUGUCUUCAAUCAUCUCCCAGCGGUAGUAGUUUCCGAUCACGAACCUUUGUCUGACGACAUCUUUGGCAGUGUAUUUGAGGAUAAGGGAAUCCCAAAUAUCUUUUGCUUCCUUGUAAGAGCAAUAAACAUCGAAGAGAUCGUUAGGUAACGCACUAAGUAAAGUGUGUUGACAUACCUUGUUUGCAUGGAUCCAAGUAUCAAAAGUGCAAAAGCGACUUCGUACAUGUCCAAUAGGGUGGACACGCGUUCUUGCCAGCGUCGGAAAUUCUGACUGGUGAAGACUUCAAUUUUUUAGACUUCUGGAAGUGGUUUCGCAAAAUAUGGUUUGCGUUUCAGAAACAACGUUUGACAUUUCUAGAGAAGAGUAGUUUUUGUUGUUCGCAUUGUCAGCCAUAAGUCCUUACGAUUGUAGUAAAGCAGACUUUAAAACACGAACAAAAUUGAUUUCCCGAAACGUGAGUGAUUAUUGUCCGUAAGGACUUAUUCGCAGUGUCUUGCGCAAGUCUCCCAGGAUACAACAGGAACUUCCCAGAAAUUUCUGAUGAUCAGAAUCCAAAAAAAUAUUUAUAAUAAAAGAAAAGAAUAAAUGAAGAGAGAGAAAGAGAGGAGUGCCCGGUGAGUGUUAUGAGGAAGAUGAAGAGCAGUGAUGUGUGAAAAUGAGAACGAAACCCUCUUUAUAUAGGGAGAGGAACCAAGGAUUUGUUGCAUCUUCACAAUUGAAAUCGUGGCACGUUCCAUUGACUAGCCGCAAGAAAUGGAGCAACUGCCGGAAGAGAGGGGAAGACCGCAGAGAAGAAGGAACACAGCGAGAGUGAAGGGCAUGAACCUUCCCUGGACGUGCGGCCACGUUCCUAGAUGUAGAGGGCAACAAUGCGCGUCAAACUUGGAAUAGAUCCAGUAUCCGCUGCACUUCCACAAUCUCCUCCAACGACUCUGAAAAAUCGCUAGGGUUUUCUCACACAAUCUAUUUUCCAUUUCUGCACACACCCUAUUUUUCAUUUAUGCACACACUCUCUGUUUUUUCGUUUUUGCAAUAUAUAUUGUUUUAAAAUAAUUUUGGACAAUUAUAAAACACAAAUAAAAAUUAAAUGUUGAGCAAUGAUAAUAUAAAAAGUGUUCAUAUAAGAUGAUAUAUAAAAAUCACUAGAUUCCGGUCUUCAAAAUUUAAUUUAGAUAUAAUUUAGAUGCAGUAAAAUAAGUUGGACCUAAAAUCUAGAUUUAUUUGAAUUAAAUGAAAUUAGACUUUUUAAAUUUAAUUCAUAUAAUUUUUUCAAAUUAUAUUUGCACUGACUUAAUUUUGAGGUAACAACUUACAUAAAAAUGAACUUUGCGUUUUUGUCCCUCAGUACAGAAUCAUCCAGCGUGGCGUUUGAGGUGCAUGAAGUCCAUUUAUCUGUUAAAAUAAGGCAAUAAUGAAAAGGGUACACGUGAAACAAAAAACAAAAUGGUAGCACUCAAGGUCACAAGACAACGUAAUCCUGAACACUUUGAUAAUUGAGGUCGGAAAAAGCAGUUGCUUGGUUGUCAUGAUAUAUGUACUGCACCAAUUAUGAGUUUUAUGAUAUAUACAUUCUUAUCUAUUGGGGAUUACUAUCACAGAAAGUUGUAUACAUUGCAGCCCCACAAACAAAUUC
rnacentral:lncRNA from 1 species